AGGACGAACGCUGGCGGCGUGCUUAACACAUGCAAGUGGAGCGACGAACCGGGGCUUGCCCUGGGGCAGAGCCGCGAACGGGUGAGUAACACGUGGGUUACCUGCCCCGAUGACCGGGACAACCCGAGGAAACUCGGGCUAAUACCGGAUGUGCCCGCAAGGGGAAAGGAAGCUUCGGCCUCCGCAUCGGGAUGGGCCCGCGGCCCAUUAGCUUGUUGGUGAGGUAACGGCUCACCAAGGCUUCGAUGGGUAGCUGGUCUGAGAGGACGAUCAGCCACACUGGGACUGAGACACGGCCCAGACUCCUACGGGAGGCAGCAGUGGGGAAUCUUGCGCAAUGGGCGAAAGCCUGACGCAGCAACGCCGCGUGGAGGACGAAGGCUUUCUGAGUUGUAAACUCCUUUCAGCAGGGACGAUUGUGACGGUACCUGCAGAAGAAGCACCGGCCAACUACGCGCCAGCAGCCGC
rnacentral:rRNA from 1 species